UGGCGAAACGCGGGUUCGAACUCAGAACGUUUAGAUCUUCAGUCUAACUCUUUCUCAACUGAGCUAUUCUGCC